UACUUAGUGGCAGACGGGUGAGUAACAUGUGGGUAUCUACCCUUUGGCCUGGAAUAACACGAGGAAACUUGUGCUAAUACCGGAUAAGUCUUUACGGAGAAAGCUUUAUGCACCAUUGGAGGAGCCCGCACUUGAUUAGUUUGUUGGUAGGGUAAUGGCCUACCAAGACUAUGAUCAAUAGCUGAUUUGAGAGGAUGAUCAGCCACAUUGGGACUGAGACACGGCCCAAACUCCUACGGGAGGCAGCAGUGGGGAAUCUUGCACAAUGGAGGAAACUCUGAUGCAGCGAUGCCGCGUGAGUGAAGAAGGCCUUUGGGUUGUAAAGCUCUUUCGUCGGGGAAGAAAAUGACUGUACCCGAAUAAGAAGGUCCGGCUAACUUCGUGCCAGCAGCCGCGGUAAUACGAAGGGACCUAGCGUAGUUCGGAAUUACUGGGCUUAAAGAGUUCGUAGGUGGUUGAAAUAGUUG
rnacentral:rRNA from 1 species